GGAGGUUCCUAUUUCCCUCACAGAGCUACAAUUCCAGAGUUCCAUAUAAACAGAAACCACUGUGAAAAUUAUACCUUUGUGGGGAAAAUAGAGGCAUU